rnacentral:lncRNA from 1 species
GCCGCAGGGCGGCCUGCGGGGCUGUGGACGCGAGGCCAGCUCGUAGGGGGCUGGGCGGUCAGCGGGGUCAAGGGACAGCCACGCUGGGACGGAGGACGGGGACAGGGGAGCCCCUGCGGCGCCACUUCUUCCUCUCCGAGUCCUGUCUGCCCUUGAUGGAGCCACUGGUGGGGUUACUUGCUGGCGGUCGGCCACUUUCGCCCCUCCCUCGCCAGCCCGCCAGCUCCCUAAGGUUUUGUGGUUUUUUGUCACCACCACACCUCAGUGUUGAGCUAAGUGAGGACGUCCCCCCAGCAAAUGUAUUGGACGGAAGGAAACGCUGUGCGGGAGGAGGCGGAGGAAAGUAGGCCACCCGGGGCUCAAGUGAGAACAAGCACCAAGCCCUGUGGAUUUCAGAAGAACUCCACCUCCACAGAGUCCUCAAAGAUCUUCUCCUGAACUCCGCACUCCCCAGCCUUGAGAGGAGACACAGGAGCUGGAGGAAGCAGCUUUAUCCCUCACUUUGUGGUUCAGUCCAGCCUGUUUUCCAAGGGGUAAAGGGCAGUGGAAGGAUAACUAAGAAAAUAAUAAUAACAAAUGAAAGCAUCUCUGUGGAGCUUCG